rnacentral:rRNA from 1 species
AUUGAACGCUGGCGGCAUGCUUUUACACAUGCAAGUCGAGCGGCAGCGCGGGGCAACCUGGCGGCGAGCGGCGAACGGGUGAGUAAAUAGAUAGGAAACGUAUCCGGGAGUGGGGGAUAACUAGCCGAAAGGUUAGCUAAUACCGCAUAUUCUCUUAGGAGGAAAGCGGGGGACUUCUAAACCGGUGGCAUCUGGGUGGUCAGGUGUGACGGGUUUAGAAGCCUCGCGCUCGCGGAGUGGCCUAUCUCCGAUUAGCUAGUUGGUGAGGUAAAGGCUCACCAAGGCGACGAUCGGUAGCUGGUCUGAGAGGAUGAUCAGCCACACUGGGACUGAGACACGGCCCAGACUCCUACGGGAGGCAGCAGU